AACGGAGCUUAGAGAGCUUGCUUUUAAGCUUAGUGGCGAACGGGUGAGUAACGCGUGAGUAACCUGCCCUAGAGUGGGGGACAACAGUUGGAAACGACUGCUAAUACCGCAUAAGCCCACGGUGCCGCAUGGCACAGAGGUAAAAGGAGCAAUCCGCUUUGAGAUGGCCUCGCGUCCGAUUAGCUAGUUGGUGAGGUAACGGCCCACCAAGGCGACGAUCGGUAGCCGGACUGAGAGGUUGAACGGCCACAUUGGGACUGAGACACGGUCCAGACUCC
rnacentral:rRNA from 1 species